AUGGCGGAGAUUAGUGUUCACAGAGUCCUUCUUUUGGCUUUUUCUCUGGCAAAGUGUCUGGAGGGUACAAAACUGCUGGCACAUCUUAAAAAGUGUGGUGACUUGGAAUGUGAAACUUUACUCAGCAGAGCCUUAGCUGUGAGAGAUCACAUGGGACCUGACUGCCGAUUCCUGAACUUCACUGAGGGAGAAGAGAUAGCUGUUUAUGUCAAACUUGCAGGCGAGAGAGAAGAUCUGUGGGCAGGAAGUAAAGGAAAGGACUUUGGAUUUUUUCCCAGAGAUGCAGUCCAGACCGAAGAGGUGUUCAUAUCUGAAGAAAUUGAAAUGUCAACUAAAGAAUCUGACUUUCUUUGUCUUCUUGGUGAAAGCUACAUGUUUGGAAGUGAGGAUAGCAAGUUCAGCACUGAUAAUGGUGAAAAUUUAUAUCCAUUUGAAGAAGAUGAAGACCAAAAAUAUAGUAUAUAUGAAAGUGAUUUCCAGAUAGAAUCUGAACUUUAUGCAACGUCUGAAAGUACUUUGUUUGAAGACCAGUUUUCGGCAUCAGAGGCUCCUGAAGAUACCAGAAGUGCCAGUGAGUCAAAGGACUGGGAAGAAGUAAAAGCUGGAGGUAUGGAACAGAAUCAUGUUCCAAAAGGGGAUCAUGUCUUGACAUCCUUAACUAUGUCUGAAGUACAAGGAUGGUUUGGACUGGGGAAGGAACAAACUGAAGAGGCUUUUGAAUCAGCUAUUGAACAAGGAAGCUCAUUUCAAAGCAGAACAACAGCAGUGGAAGAUGAGAAUGAUCUACCAGAAUUAAAUAAUGGUGAGCCCCAAACAGAGCAUAGGCAAGAAUCUGAAUCUGAAUUUGGUUCAGAGUCACCAGAAUUUGACUUGGGGUCAGAGAAACAGUCUGAAUUAGCAUUGGAGUCAAAUCAUAUUCUUAAAUCUCAAGCCACUGGUUGGUUUGAUGGUGGAUUUACAAGUUACUUAGGUUUUGGAGAGGAGGAUACAGGACUUGAGUUAUUGUCCAAAGAAAGCCAUCAACCACUACAAGAUGUUCCCAGUGCCAUAUUAUCUGACGAAGAAGCAACAGUUCCACAUACAGAAAUCUUAACAGAAAAAGAAGACAUAAUCAUUAAUGAUAGCUCAAUUCUCAAGCCAAGUUGGUUUGAUUUUGGUUUUGGUAUGCUAGGUUUUACAUAUGCCAAUGAAGAUAAAAUUGCAUCAGAUGACAAAAAAAACAAAGAAGAUGGUGGGGUAGAUAAACAUGAACAUUCUCCAGCAAGUGAAUUUGACCCUGACAAAGAACAAGAAAUAAAAAUGAUGAAAAUUAUGGAAACAGAAGAUCAAACAGGUAAGUGAAGAGUCUUAAGAGAAAAUAGAUGAUUCUGAUACCAUACUAUCUUUGAAAAAAUCUUACACAAUUUUGAUAAUCCUUGGAGCUUCCAGAACAUUCCAAAGGAAAUAAUCAUUAUUUCCCAAGCAGAUACUAGAUAAUAAUAUGCUUGAAAAUGAUGAAACAGAAGAAUAUUCAGUUGAAAAUUAUCCCACAGAUUAUGUGAAAGAUGUUAGGAUAUUGAAAAGCAGAUAUAGCCAGUCAGAUAUGGUCUCUGAAACAGAGUUAUCUAUGAGAAUUCAUGAAGAAAUAUAUCAGAAAACCUCACCUUCUAAAAGUAAUGAAAAAUCAACAUCAGUAGACUCUGAAGGGUCUGCGCAGGUGGAAGCAGACAGCUCUGAGGGAAAUAUUCUGUUGAACAGCCAGAUGGUUGCAAUGGACGGCUCUUUGCUUUCUGAAAAUGACAUUCUUCAGAAAGAAGAUGCUACAGAGUUUUGGAUUCUGAAAUACUUGUUUCAACUUGAUGUUUAUGAUGUCAUGAAUUCUGCAUUUUCACCAAUUCUAAUUCUUAUGGAAAGGGUUGUGGAAGCACUGCCUGAAGACAUGAGAUCAGGUCCCACCCCUGAUGGUUUUCCAUGGGAACUGGUCACAGGUGGAGCGAUCGUUGGAUUUUUUGCUUUUUUCUUAUUCUUGUGGAGAACUGUUCGGUCGGUUAGAAGCCGGCUUUAUGUGGGAAGAGAAAAAAAGCUUGCCUUAGAGCUUUCUGAACUAAUUGAAGAAAAAUGUAGACUACUUGAAAAACUUAGAGUUGUCCAAAAAGAGUAUGAAGGCUUAGAGUCAUCUUUAAAGGAUACCAGCUUUGAGAAGGAGUCAGCAGAAGCACAAAGUUUGGAGGCAAACUGUGAAGAACUGGAUAGGACAAAAUCUAAACUUGAAGAUGAAAUACUCUUUCUAGAAGAACAACUAGAAGAAGAAAAAUCUAAACAUUCUGAACAAGAUGAAUUGAUGGAAGAUAUUUUAAAAAGGAUACAGUCCCUAGAAGAUAAAUCAGAAUCUCUCAAAUCACAAGUAGCUGAAGCUAAAACAACCUUGAGGAUAUUUCAAAUCAAUGAAGAACGACUUACAAUAGCAAUAAAAGAUACUGUGAAUGAAAAUUCCCAGCUUCAGGAGAGCCAGAAAAAGCUCUUACAAGAAACUGAAGUAUGGAAAGAAAAAGUGAGUGAACUUAAUAAACAGAAAAUGAUACUCGAAGAUUCCAAAAUGCAUGCAGAACAAGUUCUAAAUGAUAAAGAGAAUCAUAUCAAGUCUCUGACUGAACAAUUGCUAAAGAUGAAAGAUUGGGCUGCCGUGCUUGGAGAAGACAUGACAGAUGAUGGUAACUUGGAUUUGGAAAUGAAGAGUGAAGCAGAAAAUGGUGCUCACUUAGAUGAUCAGCCAAAAGGAGCUCUGAAGAAACUGAUUUAUGCUGCUAAGUUAAAUGCUUCUUUGGAAGCCUUAGAAGAAGAAAGAAACCAAAUUUAUACUCAAUUAUCUGAAGUAGAUAAAACAAAGGAAGACCUUACAGAGCAUAUUAAAGCUCUCCAGACUAAACAAGCUUCUCUGCAGUCAGAAAAUGCAGAGUUAGAAAGUGAGAAUCAAAAGCUUCACCAGAAACUUAAAGUAAUGACUGAACUAUAUCAAGAAAAUGAAAUGAAACUCCACAGGAAACUAACAGUAGAGGAAAAUUACCGGCUUGAUAAAGAGGAGAAACUUUCCAAAACAGAUGAAAAAAUCAACUGUGCAGCUGAGGAGCUGAAGACAUAUAGAAAGCGAGCUAAAGAUCUUGAAGAAGAACUGGAGAGAACCAUUCAGUCUUACCAAGGGCAGAUCAUUUCCCAUGAGAAAAAAGCACAUGAUAAUUGGUUGGCAGCUCGUACUGCUGAAAGAACCCUCACUGAUUUAAGGAAAGAAAAUGCUUACCACAGACAAAAAUUAACCGAAACAGAGUUUAAAUUUGAACUUUUAGAAAAAGAUCCUUACGCACUUGAUGUUCCAAAUACAGCAUUUGGCAGAGAGCAUUCCCCAUAUGGUCCCUCACCAUUUGGUCGACCUUCGUCUGAAACGAGAGCUUUUCUCUCUCCUCCAACUUUGUUGGAGGGUCCACUCAGACUCUCACCUUUGCUUCCAGGGGGAGGAGGAAGAG